GGGGGAUUGGCAUGGGGGGACCCUGAUCCAGCCAUGCCGCGUGUGUGAAGAAGGCCCUCGGGUUGUAAAGCACUUUCAGCGAGGAAGAACGCCUAGUGGUUAAUACCCAUUAGGAAAGACAUCACUCGCAGAAGAAGCACCGGCUAACUCCGUGCCAGCAGCCGCGGUAAUACGGAGGGUGCAAGCGUUAAUCGGAAUUACUGGGCGUAAAGCGCGCGUAGGUGGCUUGAUAAGCCGGUUGUGAAAGCCCCGGGCUCAACCUGGGAACGGCAUCCGGAACUGCCAGGCUAGAGUGCAGGAGAGGAAGGUAGAAUUCCCGGUGUAGCGGUGAAAUGCGUAGAGAUCGGGAGGAGUACCAGUGGCGAAGGCGGCCUUCUGGACUGACACUGACACUGAGGUGCGAAAGCGUGGGUAGCAAACAGGAUUAGAUACCCUGGUAGUCCACGCCGUAAACGAUGUCGACCAGCCGUUGGGUGCCUAGAGCACUUUGUGGCGAAGUUAACGCGAUAAGUCGACCGCCUGGGGAGUACGGCCGCAAGGUUAAAACUCAAAUGAAUUGACGGGGGCCCGCACAAGCGGUGGAGCAUGUGGUUUAAUUCGAUGCAACGCGAAGAACCUUACCUACCCUUGACAUCUACAGAAGCCGGAAGAGAUUCCGGUGUGCCUUCGGGAACUGUAAGACAGGUGCUGCAUGGCUGUCGUCAGCUCGUGUUGUGAAAUGUUGGGUUAAGUCCCGUAACGAGCGCAACCCUUGUCCUUAUUUGCCAGCGAGUAAUGUCGGGAACUCUA
rnacentral:rRNA from 1 species